rnacentral:rRNA from 1 species
AGAACACAUUCUGCCCAUACAAAAGUAGUUUACAACCCAUAGGGCCGUCUUCCUACACGCAGGAUGGCUGGAUCAGGGUUGCCCCCAUUGUCCAAUAUUCCUU